CAGUCGCCGCGGUAAUGCGUAGGUGGCGAGCGUUGUCCGGAAUCAUUGGGCGUAAAGGGAGCGCAGGCGGGCAAGUAAGUCUUUCUUAAAAGUUCGGGGCUCAACCCCGUGAUGGGAAAGAAACUACAUGUCUUGAGUACAGGAGAGGAAAGCGGAAUUCCCAGUGUAGCGGUGAAAUGCGUAGAUAUUGGGAGGAACACCAGUGGCGAAGGCGGCUUUCUGGACUGCAACUGACGCUGAGGCUCGAAAGCCAGGGGAGCGAACGGGAUUAGAUACCCCCGUAGUCCCUGUCUCUUAUACA
rnacentral:rRNA from 1 species